ensembl:lncRNA
GCUGAGGCAGGAGGAUUGCUUGCAGCCAUGUGUUAGAGACCAGCCUGGGCAACACAGAGAGACACCGUCUCUGUAAAAAGUUUAAAGAGGUCUGGUGUGGUGGCUCACACCUAUAAUCCCAGCACUUUGGGAGGCUGAGGCGGGUAGAUCACAAGGUCAAGAGAUUGAGACCAUCCUGGUCAAUGAGGUGAAACCCUGUCUCUACUAAAAAUACAAAAAUUAGCUGGGCAUGGUGGUGCGUGCCUGUAAUCCCAGCUACUCAGGAGGGUGAGGCAGGAGAAUUGCUUGAACCCAGCAGGCGGUGAGCCGAGAUCGUGCCAUUGCACUCCAGUCUGGGUAACAACGGCGAAACUCCGUCUCAAAAAAAAAAAAAAAAAGUUUAAAGAAACUAGCAGGGCAUGGUGGCAUGCAACUGCUGUCCCAGCUACUUGGGAGGCUGAGGUGGGAGAAUGGCUUGAGUCCUAGAGUUCAGGUUAUAGUGAGCUGUGAUUGCCCCACUGCAUUCCUGCCUGAGAGAUGGGGCCAGACCCUGUCUCCAAGAAAACAACAAACAAACAAAAUUUCUGGAUAGUUGCACCAUCCCCUAUUUUCUGCUAAGUAAUUUUUUUCUCAUUUACAUACUUCAGAAGUGCAAGUCUGACCCUCUCCCAGCCCCUUUCACUCCUCCCACUCCACAUCAAGUUUUACCUAAACAUAGCCAUCAAUCACAGGACACUCUUCAGGAAUUUUGAGUCUUUUAUUCAUAAGAGAACAGAGUAUAUUCUGGCAAGAAUGAACUCAGGUGAAUCCAUGAUACUGUUUGUGUUUGUAGGAUUUGGGCAAUCCAGUAAAGAAAACGCCAGCAUUGAGUGGCCUCAUGAAUAUGAAGAUAUCUGGAAAAUCUUCACUACACAGCAUGAUUUCAGGAAUGAUGAAACAAUAAAUGAGAAUCUGGUAUUAAUAAUCUGUGGGUUUUAAAUUGUAUGCCAUCUGAAGAUGUUAGGACCAGUAAUUUCAUGUAUCCUACAAAGUGGAACAUGCCGUAGGGCACAGAGAUUCGUGAUUCAUGAGGAGGUUGGAUGUCUGACGAUAAACGUCCACGCACACAAUUUGAGCCUUUGGUGCUUACUGGCUGUACUAUGGUAAUGCCUCAUUAAUUCAAACCUCUCAAAGCCAGAUUUUGGAAUGAAUCAGGUUGAAAAGAUUGAGAGCUGAUGCCUGCCUUUGCGUAAUUGACAGCCUUUGCUCAGCAAAUUAAGUCGCUUAUAGUUGAUGACCAAAGAAAAUGCAGAGUAUCUGAGAAGCACAAAAUAGGAAGGGUGAACCAUCAGAACAGACUUUCUACAGCCCUCAGAGCAAGGUGUUAUUAUUCCACAGUACGUUCUAGAAAGGAUGUCUGAGCUGCCUUUCUUGUCGAAUAUCAUCUUCUUUCAGAGCACCCCACCCAUUUAUCUUUUAUAAAGGUCAGAACUGGAAUAAAACUGUGUGAAGAGUUUUUUUUUUGUUGUUUUUUUUUUAAGACAGAGGCUCGCUCUGCCACCCAGGCUGGAGUGCAGUGGCUUACUGCAACCUCCACUUCCUGGGUUCAAGCAAUUCUCAUGGCCCAGCCUCCCAGGAAGCUGGGAUUACAGGCAUGCACCACCAUGCCUAAUUUUUGUAUUUUU